UCCUGGUGUCGUUAGUUUUAUCAGCGGU
rnacentral:piRNA from 1 species